rnacentral:rRNA from 1 species
GACGAACGCUGGCGGCGUGCCUAAUACAUGCAAGUAGAACGCUGAAGGAGGAGCUUGCUCUUCUGGAUGAGUUGCGAACGGGUGAGUAACGCGUAGGUAACCUGCCUGGUAGCGGGGGAUAACUAUUGGAAACGAUAGCUAAUACCGCAUAACAGUAGAUGUUGCAUGACAUUUACUUAAAAGGUGCAAUUGCAUCACUACCAGGUGGACCUGCGUUGUAUUAGCUAGUUGGUGGGGUAACGGCCCACCAAGGCGACGAUACAUAGCCGACCUGAGAGGGUGAUCGGCCACACUUGGACUGGGGCACCGCCCAGGCUCCUUCGGGAGGCAGCAGUAGGGAAUCUUCGGCAAUGGACGGAAGUCUGACCGAGCAACGCCGCGUGAGUGAAGAAGGGUUUCGGAGCGGAAAGCUCUGUUUUAAGAGAAGAACGAGUGUGAGAGUGGAAAGUUCACACUGUGACGGUAUCUUACCAGAAAGGGACGGCUAACUACGUG